GAUGAACGCUGGCGGCGUGCCUAAUACAUGCAAGUCGAGCGAACGGACGAGAAGCUUGCUUCUCUGAUGUUAGCGGCGGACGGGUGAGUAACACGUGGAUAACCUACCUAUAAGACUGGGAUAACUUCGGGAAACCGGAGCUAAUACCGGAUAAUAUUUUGAACCGCAUGGUUCAAAAGUGAAAGACGGUCUUGCUGUCACUUAUAGAUGGAUCCGCGCUGCAUUAGCUAGUUGGUAAGGUAACGGCUUACCAAGGCAACGAUGCAUAGCCGACCUGAGAGGGUGAUCGGCAACACUGGAACUGAGACACGGGCCAGACUCCUACGGGAGGCAGCAGUAGGGAAUCUUCCGCAAUGGGCGAAAGCCUGACGGAGCAACGCCGCGUGAGUGAUGAAGGUCUUCGGAUCGUAAAACUCUGUUAUUAGGGAAGAACAUAUGUGUAAGUAACUGUGCACAUCUUGACGGUACCUAAUCAGAAAGCCACGGCUAACUACGUG
rnacentral:rRNA from 1 species